UACGUAGGGUGCGAGCGUUGUCCGGAAUUAUUGGGCGUAAAGAGCUUGUAGGCGGUUUGUCGCGUCUGCUGUGAAAAUCCGGGGCUCAACCCCGGACUUGCAGUGGGUACGGGCAGACUAGAGUGUGGUAGGGGAGACUGGAAUUCCUGGUGUAGCGGUGAAAUGCGCAGAUAUCAGGAGGAACACCGGUGGCGAAGGCGCCACUCUGGGCCGGUACUGACGCUGAGGAGCGAAAGCGUGGGGAGCAAACAGG
rnacentral:rRNA from 1 species